ACCUACCGAUCGAGGAGGAGGUUGCCGGCCUAUCAGCUAGUUGGCGGGUAACGGCCCACCAAGGCGACGACGGGUAGCAGGCCUGAGAGGGUGGUCUGCCACACUGGGACUGAGACACUGCCCAGACUCCUACGGGAGGCUGCAGUCGAGGAUCUUCCGCAAUGGGCGCAAGCCUGACGGAGCGACGCCGCGUGGAGGACGAAGGCCUUAGGGUUGUAAACUCCUGUCGAGGGUUAUGAAUGGCGUUUGGUGAACAGCCGAACGAGUGACGUAAGCCCUGGAGGAAGCACUGGCUAACUCUGUG
rnacentral:rRNA from 1 species